rnacentral:lncRNA from 1 species
AAAGUUUGGUUACUUUUUGCAUCUAAAAUUGUUAUUGGGAAACUAUGUUUUCCAUCAUAGAGCUUUAGAAACAAAAGGGAUGUUUCAAACAGCUAAAACAAAUAUCUUGUCCUGUCUAAAAGAACUACAGAGAUAAAAAUGGAGCAGGGACUGAAGGAAUGGCCAACGAACAACAAGCCCAUCCCCUAGGCAAAGACCAGUUCCUGACACAAUGAUACUCUGUUCUUCUUGCAGAUUGGAGCCUAGAAUAGUUGUCUUCUGAGAGGCUCUACCCAGCAGCUGAUGAAACCAAAUGCUGAUACCCACAGUCAAACAUUAAAAGGAGGGCUGCCUUAUCUGGCCUCAGUAGGAGAGAAUUUGCCAAAGUCAGCAGAGACUUGAUAGUACCAUGGUUGGAGGAUACCCAGGGAGGAAAACUGAAUUACCCAGAACCAAACUCCAAAUUUCAAGGAAGAAUCAAGACCAUACUCUUGCACUUGAUGUCCAGGACAAUUGGACAGACACACCUGCUGAGAGUCUAGAGGAGCCCAUUCGUCUCAGGAACAAUCAGCCUCCAACCCCUGCUACGUGAAUUAUACUCCCCUUCUGGUGGUGCCUUCUCCCAUGGCAGAGUACCAGCUUGUCUGCUCCUCAGAACACACCACAGUCUCAAGGCCUCCCAGGAGAUCUGUUGCAUCCAGGGCCCCACUGCCUGAAGGCCUCAUAGGAGGUGUGCUACAGCCAGGGCCACAGGCCUACCAGGAAACUAGCAUAAACCCAAGGACAUAAAAUGUAGGAACCAGACAGAGACACCUAAACUAGCUAACACUAGGGGGAACCAGAUUGCAAGAGGCAAGUACAAGAUCAUAAGCAACAGAAGCCAAUAUACUUUGGCAUCAUCAGAACCAGGUUCUCCCACCACAGCAAGCCCUAGAUACACCAACAC